GCGGAGGCUACUGCUAUUGGGGUUCGAUUAAGCCAUGCAAGUUGAACGAUUCUUCGGAAUCGUGGCGAACGGCUCAGUAACACGUGGAUAACCUACCCUUAGGACCGGUAUAACCCUGGGAAACUGGGGACAAUCCCGGAUAGGUGAUUUUUUCUGUAAUGAUUUUUCAUUUAAAUGCUCCGGCGCCUGAGGAUGGGUCUGCGGCAGAUUAGGUAGUUGGUAGGGUAAUGGCCUACCAAGCCGGUGAUCUGUACGGGUUGUGAGAGCAAGAGCCCGGAGAUGGAACCUGAGACAAGGUUCCAGGCCCUACGGGGCGCAGCAGGCGCGAAACCUCCGCAAUGCGAGAAAUCGCGACGGGGGGAACCCCAAGUGCCACUCUUAACGGGGUGGCUUUUCUUGAGUGUAAAAAGCUUUUGGAAUAAGGGCUGGGCAAGACCGGUGCCAGCCGCCGCGGUAACACCGGCAGCUCUAGUGGUAGCCAUUUUUAUUGGGCCUAAAGCGUUCGUAGCCGGUUUGAUAAGUCUCUGGUGAAAUCCUGUAGCUUAACUGUGGGAAUUGCUGGAGAUACUAUUAGACUUGAGGUCGGGAGAGGUUAGCGGUACUCCCAGGGUAGGGGUGAAAUCCUGUAAUCCUGGGAGGACCACCUGUGGCGAAGGCGGCUAACUGGAACGAACCUGACGGUGAGGGACGAAAGCCAGGGGCGCGAACCGGAUUAGAUACCCGGGUAGUCCUGGCCGUAAACGAUGUG
rnacentral:rRNA from 1 species